rnacentral:rRNA from 1 species
UUUCGGGUUAAAAAACCCUUUCCAGGUGAGAAAGAAUUUCUUCAAGUACUAAUAAUGGUGAAGUCUGGCGGGUCCCACCAGAGGAAGGCACCGGCCAACUCCGGUCCCAGCAGCCGCGGUAAUACGGAGGGUCCAAGCGUUGUUCGGAAUUAUUGGGCGUAAAGAGCGUGUAGGCGGCUUGGUAAGUCAGAUGUGAAAGCCCUGGGCUCAACCCAGGAAGUGCAUUUGAAACUACCAGACUUGAGUACGGGAGAGGAGGGGGGAAUUCCCGGUGUAGAGGUGAAAUUCGUAGAUAUCGGGAGGAAUACCGGUGGCGAAGGCGCCCCUCUGGACCGAUACUGACGCUGAGACGCGAAAGCGUGGGGAGCAAACAGGAUUAGAUACCCUGGUAGUCCACGCCGUAAACGAUGUCGACCAGCCGUUGGGUGCCUAGCGCACUUUGUGGCGAAGUUAACGCGAUAAGUCGACCGCCUGGGGAGUACGGCCGCAAGGUUAAAACUCAAUGAAUUGACGGGGGCCCGCACAAGCGGUGGAGCAUGUGGUUUAAUUCGAUGCAACGCGAAGAACCUUACCUACUCUUGACAUCCUGCGAAUUUGGUAGAGAUACCUUAGUGCCUUCGGGAACGCAGAGACAGGUGCUGCAUGGCUGUCGUCAGCUCGUGUUGUGAAAUGUUGGGUUAAGUCCCGUAACGAGCGCAACCCUUGUCCUUAUUUGCCAGCGCGUAAUGGCGGGAACUCUAAGGAGACUGCCGGUGACAAACCGGAGGAAGGUGGGGACGACGUCAAGUCAUCAUGGCCCUUACGAGUAGGGCUACACACGUGCUACAAUGGUCGGUACAAAGGGUUGCCAACUCGCGAGAGUGAGCCAAUCCCGAAAAGCCGAUCUCAGUCCGGAUCGGAGUCUGCAACUCGACUCCGUGAAGUCGGAAUCGCUAGUAAUCGUGGAUCAGAAUGCCACGGUGAAUACGUUCCCGGGCCUUGUACACACCGCCCGUCACACCAUGGGAGUGGACUGCACCAGAAGUGGUUAGCCUAACGCAAGAGGGCGAUCACCACGGUGUGGUUCAUGACUGGGGUGAAGUCGUAACAAGGUAGCCGUA